rnacentral:snRNA from 1 species
UACAGCCAUGUUAUGAUUAUUC